GAUGAACGCUGGCGGCGUGCCUAAUACAUGCAAGUCGAGCGAACGGACGAGAGGCUUGCUUCUCUGAUGUUAGCGGCGGACGGGUGAGUAACACGUGGAUAACCUAUCUAUAAGACUGGGAUAACUUCGGGAAACCGGAGCUAAUACCGGAUAAUAUUUUGAACCGCAUGGUUCAAAAGUGAAAGACGGUCUUGCUGUCACUUAUAGAUGGAUCCGCGCUGCAUUAGCUAGUUGGUAAGGUAACGGCUUACCAAGGCAACGAUGCAUAGCCGACCUGAGAGGGUGAUCGGCCACACUGGAACUGAGACACGGUCCAGACUCCUACGGGAGGCAGCAGUAGGGAAUCUUCCGCAAUGGGCGAAAGCCUGACGGAGCAACGCCGCGUGAGUGAUGAAGGUCUUCGGAUCGUAAAACUCUGUUAUUAGGGAAGAACAUAUGUGUAAGUAACUGUGCACAUCUUGACGGUACCUAAUCAGAAAGCCACGGCUAACUACGUG
rnacentral:rRNA from 1 species